AUAUUUAACUGACAAGAGAGAGAACGUGAUCACAAAGUUGGUUUUCCUCGCUCAUUGCACUCUGGAUGUGCUAACCCCUGUGAUUUUCCCACAUGUGGGAAACUUGACUGCAGAAUUUGUGCUGGUGGGUUAAAAAACAAAAAACAAAAAAAGUCCCAA